UGUGUCCUUAACGAUUUUUUGAAUUAAUUAAACUAAAUGAAAAAUUGGACACAUGUGUGAGAGGAUCGAUGAAUUAGUACGAUUAAUGACGAUAACAAUGUAAUUGUGAGAAACCCGUAGGGCGAUUGCCAUUGAUAAUGACUAUGAAACGUAGUCGAAAUAUUUGGUAAUAAAUACUAAUGAAUGAGCAC